rnacentral:rRNA from 1 species
UACGUAGGGGGCAAGCGUUGUCCGGAAUCAUUGGGCGUAAAGAGCGUGUAGGCGGCCAGAUAAGUCCGCUGUGAAAUCUCGAGGCCCAACUUCGAGCUGUCGGUGGAAACUGUCUGGCUAGAGUCCGGAAGAGGAGAAUGGAAUUCCUGGUGUAGCGGUGAAAUGCGCAGAUAUCAGGAAGAACACCCGUGGCGAAGGCGGUUCUCUGGGACGGUACUGACGCUGAGGAGCGAAAGCGUGGGGAGCAAACAGG